AACGAACGCUGGCGGCAUGCCUAACACAUGCAAGUCGAACGAUUGCCUUCGGGUGAUAGUGGCGCGCGGGUGCGUAACGCGUGGGAAUCUGCCCUUAGGUUCGGAAUAACAGCUGGAAACGGCUGCUAAUACCGGAUGAUAUCGCGAGAUCAAAGAUUUAUCGCCUGAGGAUGAGCCCGCGUUGGAUUAGGUAGUUGGUGGGGUAAAGGCCUACCAAGCCGACGAUCCAUAGCUGGUCUGAGAGGAUGAUCAGCCACACUGGGACUGAGACACGGCCCAGACUCCUACGGGAGGCAGCAGUGGGGAAUAUUGGACAAUGGGCGCAAGCCUGAUCCAGCAAUGCCGCGUGAGUGAUGAAGGCCCUAGGGUUGUAAAGCUCUUUUACCCGGGAAGAUAAUGACUGUACCGGGAGAAUAAGCCCCGGCUAACUCCGUG
rnacentral:rRNA from 1 species